AGAAUCAACGCUGGCGGCGUGCCUAACACAUGCAAGUCGCACGAGAAAGGGACUUCGGUCCUGAGUAAAGUGGCGCACGGGUGAGUAACACGUGAAUCAUCUACCUCCGAAUGGGGAAUAACUGAGAGAAAUCUUAGCUAAUACCGCAUAAUACCUACGGGUCAAAGCAGCAAUGCGUUUGGAGAGGAGUUCGCGGUCGAUUAGUUAGUUGGCGGGGUAAUGGCCCACCAAGACGAUGAUCGAUAUCCGGCCUGAGAGGGCGCACGGACACACUGGAACUGAAACACGGUCCAGACUCCUACGGGAGGCAGCAGUGGGGAAUUUUGCGCAAUGGGGGAAACCCUGACGCAGCAACGCCGCGUGGAGGAUGAAAUAUCUUGGUAUGUAAACUCCUUUCGAUGGGGAAGAUAAUGACGGUACCCAUAGAAGAAGCCCCGGCUAACUUCGUGCCAGCAGCCGC
rnacentral:rRNA from 1 species